UGCAAGUCGAGCGGUAGCACAGAGGAGCUUGCUCCUUGGGUGACGAGCGGCGGACGGGUGAGUAAAGUCUGGGGAUCUGCCUGAUGGAGGGGGAUAACUACUGGAAACGGUAGCUAAUACCGCAUGACGUCUUCGGACCAAAGUGGGGGACCUUCGGGCCUCACGCCAUGAGAUGAACCCAGAUGGGAUUAGCUGGUAGGUGAGGUAACGGCUCACCUAGGCGACGAUCCCUAGCUGGUCUGAGAGGAUGACCAGCCACACUGGAACUGAGACACGGUCCAGACUCCUACGGGAGGCAGCAGUGGGGAAUAUUGCACAAUGGGGGAAACCCUGAUGCAGCCAUGCCGCGUGUGUGAAGAAGGCCUUCGGGUUGUAAAGCACUUUCAGCGGGGAGGAAGGCAAUGAGCUUAAUAAGUUUGUUGAUUGACGUUACCCGCAGAAGAAGCACCGGCUAACUCCGUGCCAGCAGCCGCGGUAAUACGGAGGGUGCAAGCGUUAAUCGGAAUGACUGGGCGUAAAGCGCACGCAGGCGGUCUGUUAAGUUGGAUGUGAAAUCCCCGGGCUCAACCCGGGAACAGCAUUCAAAACUGACAGGCUAGAGUCUCGUAGAGGGGGGUAGAAUUCCAGGUGUAGCGGUGAAAUGCGUAGAGAUCUGGAGGAAUACCGGUGGCGAAGGCGGCCCCCUGGACGAAGACUGACGCUCAGGUGCGAAAGCGUGGGGAGCAAACAGGAUUAGAUACCCUGGUAGUCCACGCUGUAAACGAUGUCGACUUGGAGGUUGUGGUCUUGAACCGUGGCUUCCGGAGCUAACGCGUUAAGUCGACCGCCUGGGGAGUACGGCCGCAAGGUUAAAACUCAAAUGAAUUGACGGGGGCCCGCACAAGCGGUGGAGCAUGUGGUUUAAUUCGAUGCAACGCGAAGAACCUUACCUACUCUUGACAUCCAGAGAAGACUGUAGAGAUACGGUUGUGCCUUCGGGAGCUCUGAGACAGGUGCUGCAUGGCUGUCGUCAGCUCGUGUUGUGAAAUGUUGGGUUAAGUCCCGCAACGAGCGCAACCCUUAUCCUUUGUUGCCAGCACUUCGGGUGGGAACUCAAAGGAGACUGCCGGUGAUAAACCGGAGGAAGGUGGGGAUGACGUCAAGUCAUCAUGGCCCUUACGAGUAGGGCUACACACGUGCUACAAUGGCGCAUACAAAGAGAAGCGAGCCUGCGAGGGUGAGCGGACCUCAUAAAGUGCGUCGUAGUCCGGAUUGGAGUCUGCAACUCGACUCCAUGAAGUCGGAAUCGCUAGUAAUCGUAGAUCAGAAUGCUACGGUGAAUACGUUCCCGGGCCUUGUACACACCGCCCGUCACACCAUGGGAGUGGGUUGCAAAAGAAGUAGGUAGCUUAACCUUAGGGGGGGCGCUUACCACUUUGUGAUUCAUGACU
rnacentral:rRNA from 1 species